CUCUGGUUCUCAUCAGCUGUCUUGUUCUGUGUAAAGUGAAGACGGUGUGCAGAGUGAAGGUACAGGCAGAACGCUUCACAGUUCCUGUGUUCCAAGAACAGAGAUGCUCCACCAGCUCACUCUUCAACCUUGUUUCCCAGCAGGGACGACGGAUUUGUUUGAGUUCUGAGCUGCUGUCAGAGUGGAGAGUCUGACUGGAUCUCCAUGCUAACCAAAAUGUCCAGCACUGGUGCAUCACAUAUCGACUGAUUUCUAACUGGAAGUCCUGGGGUCUUCCUGGAGGAAAGGAUAGCAGGGACUUGUCCUUGUGUGUUGUCAGUGGUAGUGUCUUAGAUCAAAUGCCUGCGAAGUUCCAAAUGUGACCCAAGUCAGGCGACCCAGCCCUCUUUCCCGUGUAGUGAACAGCGUCGGGGACGUCUCUCCCCAGCGGUGGUACUUGAACUGUGUAUUCUCAUCUUCGUCACAAUAAUGUAGCGAACUCUUCGUGCUUGGCAAUGAGAAGAUGGACAAUUCAAACCAGAUGAUCAUAAUCCACGUGGCUCUGGAUGUAAUAAAGACAGGCAUAUGAUGAGACACAGUCUAUUUCUUACACACACAUUCCACUCAUAUAUGUUUGAUUUUAAUUGUACUCUGCAUCUAAUUAUAGUCCUUUCUUGACUAGGCCCACAUCGUCAUGGACCAUGGGGCCCAGAAAGACAGCUAGGGAGGCACCAAACUGACCUCCACUGGUGGUUAUUUGAGAGCUGAUCAUAAGGCUUCAAGUUCAUGGCUGCAGUGGGUGCAGCCCCUACAUCAGCAGCACAGAAACCUUCCUAUUGCACCAGAACGUCCAUCUAAAAACGGGUAACAUCGGC
ensembl:lncRNA